UACGUAGGGGGCAAGCGUUAUCCGGAUUUACUGGGUGUAAAGGGAGCGUAGACGGCAAUGUAAGUCUGAAGUGAAAGCCCGGGGCUCAACUCCGGAACUGCUUUGGAAACUAUAUAGCUAGAGUGUAGGAGAGGUAAGUGGAAUUCCUAGUGUAGCGGUGAAAUGCGUAGAUAUUAGGAGGAACACCGGCGGCGAAGGCGGCUUACUGGACUGUAACUGACGUUGAGGCACGAAAGCGUAGGGAGCAAAC
rnacentral:rRNA from 1 species